UCCGAGUCUGGGUAAACUUUUGCUGCAAGAUUAUCGGAAUAGACCACCAAAGUCAGACCAACCGAAUGACUUGGUUUCUUUUAACUUCAAUCUCUUUCAAACGAACUUUGAAGAUAGAUACAAUCCAUUUUAGUCUUGCUAGGUUCCCGACUGCUGCGGUCAUAACGAUCAUCCCUUUUGGCCUUGGUAGGUUCCCGACCGCUGCGGUCAUAACGAUCAUCCCUUUUGGUCUUGUAAUCUGAUGAACUCUUUUCACG
rnacentral:lncRNA from 1 species